UGGGGAAUAUUGGACAAUGGGCGAAAGCCUGAUCCAGCCAUGCCGCGUGUGUGAAGAAGGUCUUCGGAUUGUAAAGCACUUUAAGUUGGGAGGAAGGGCAUUAACCUAAUACGUUAGUGUUUUGACGUUACCGACAGAAUAAGCACCGGCUAACUCUGUGCCAGCAGCCUCGGUAAUACAGAGGGUGCAAGCGUUAAUCGGAAUUACUGGGCGUAAAGCGCGCGUAGGUGGUUUGUUAAGUUGGAUGUGAAAUCCCCGGGCUCAACCUGGGAACUGCAUUCAAAACUGACUGACUAGAGUAUGGUAGAGGGUGGUGGAAUUUCCUGUGUAGCGGUGAAAUGCGUAGAUAUAGGAAGGAACACCAGUGGCGAAGGCGACCACCUGGACUAAUACUGACACUGAGGUGCGAAAGCGUGGGGAGCAAACA
rnacentral:rRNA from 1 species